UCUUUUUAUUUUAUAAUUUUUUUUAUACCAGGAUAGGCUACUAGAUGGCGGGGUUUCAAUGGUGACCAGGUUCAUUGUACUAAUGCGGGGGGUUUCAUUUUGAAUUUUGUCAGCCAGAUUGAAGGAAACUAGUGGAAGACAGUGAGGGAGGUGCUUGAACCGAGAAAGGAGAGAAUAAUGACAGAGGGAGGGAGAGAGUCGGUAAGGAAACAGACAAAGAGAGAGGGUUAAGUAUUGGAUAGUUCCAGGUAAACCGGACUAAUGGGGGGGUUUCAUUUCGAAUUCUGUCAGCCCGAUUGAAGGAAACAAGUGGAAGACAGUGAGGGAGGUGCUAGAACCGAAAAAGGUGAGAAUAAUGACAAAGGGAGAACGUCGGAGAAAUACAGAGAGAGAGUGAUGAGUAUUGAAUAUGUAGGGUAGUAGAUGCUAACAAAUCACAGAAGCAAAAGAUUCUCAACACAAAGCAAAACCACACAGG
rnacentral:lncRNA from 1 species